rnacentral:lncRNA from 1 species
CCUCUUAAAAUUUCAUUUUAGGAUCUGAUUUCACAGUAUGAUAAACAGAACUUUUCACGAUUUUUGAGAUGUUUAUUGCCAUUUGGAAUAUGUUUUAUUGUUCAAAACACUGCACCUAAAUAAAAUCCAUCACAAACAUUCUUUGUCAUCUACAUCUUUAACAACGAUGUAACUUUCAGGCAGGUCAUGCAUGAAAAUCACUCUUCAACAUCAAAAAAAACUAAUGAAAGGCACCUUGUGUCCUUCACAUCCCAGACUCCAAACAAGUUAAGUAAGUUUUUGCCUGAAUAAAGAUUACAUACAUCUAGAACAACUCAAGCAGUAGGAAAACAAAUGAGAAUUACCUGAAAAAUAGUAUCCGACUUUGUUGCCUUCCUUCAUUCAGUGCUAUGCUUUUGCUUCUCACCAUCUUUAUUAAGUAAUGUGCGACUUAAAAAAUUACAUUACUGUUAUGUCUCUUUACUGAGACAAGGCAUGCAGUAAGAGAAGAGGGAAAGCUGGCUGCUUCCAGCCUGCAUGUCUACACGUUUGUUCUUGUAGAUUAGCAAGCCACUUAAGUUAAAAAAGAAACUAGGAAUGAACGCACCCAAGUUAAAUGGCUUUUAAGAAUGUUAAUGUAUAGAACAAUACCACCUACAGUUCUGUUUUGCUGACCUCUAUUCAGGUUAAUUUGAAAACAAGUUUGUGAAGUCAUCACAAGCUAUUUUAUUUUCAUAAUAAGAAAUUGGUUUUCAAAUAGUGCUGGUUGUUUGAAUAACAAGCUCUGUUAGAAGGGUAGUUACUAAGGCCAAAUAAGGCAACAAAACAUUAGAUGAAGUGUUUCCCAUUGCUGUAUAGUACUUUUAAAAAGGCAAGAUGAAAAUUAGAAGUAUUGUUGAUGGGGUCAUUCACAGCAGGUGCUUUUGUUUUAUCCCCAUCGUCUUUGUCACAGCAACUGUAGAUGGCAGAUCUUCCUUGGUUGUAAUUCAGGAUGAACAUAUUCCUUGGCUUAGUUCAAGUUAAAUACUUAGUUCUUUUUCUCCAACCUGUAUUUGAUCAGUCGCCCUCCUUGAAUAAGUUGUGCAACUUCAUUAGUCAAGUGGCAUGCAAAGAGAAGCCAGUUUCUUGGCUGCACUUUGUAGGCAAAUCUCAUGAAAGUCAAGGAGUAACAACACAGUGCAAAUGUCAUUCGGCCACUAAUGAUUUCUGGAGAUUUCUUCAUGUCAUUAAUAGCAGCAACAGGAAGUCCCCAGUUGGCUACUGGCCCCCAAAAGUGUCACCUCAUCAGGUAGUCCCGGAACUCCUUGCUGCGCACAUAGUCCGCGGCCUUACGGGCCAGCGCCCCCGCCAUGGCGGCCCGGCAACAGACGGGCAGCGCCCGCCUCGCGUGCAGCCCACGCCACAGACGUCUCCUUCGCGCCGCCGGCCGCUUUACGGCAGCGCCCGCGCCACCGCCCCCUCCGUCAGCGCGGCGCUGCCCGCGCUCAUUGGCCGCCGCGGCCCCGCCUCCCGCCCGCUGCAAGCCGCCGAGCCGGAAGCGGCGCUCAGGUCGGAUGGGAAGGCGGAGCGCCGUAAAGCGGCGCGGCGGGAAGGGAGGGGGGCGAUCGCGAAGCGCGACGCGGAGCCGCCCUCGGCUGAGCAGCCGGCGUUCCUCCGCAGCCCGCCGAGCGGAGCCCUGCCGAGCCGCUAUUGGACACGCGGCUCGGCUGCUGGCUCCUCAUUGGCUGGGGAGGCUCGUCCCGCCCCCUCCUGGGGCGAGGCUCUCCUUGAGGCGGUGGUUGGGGCGCGUGGCGUCAGCUUGGACUGGAAAGUGCGGGAGGAGGGCUGCGGUGGUCUGCUAAGGGUAGUCAUGCUUGUAAGGGCCCAGUGCGCGAACUUUGGGUUUGCGGUCAGAGAGCGUAGGAUUCAGCCUUCCCCCAUCGCGCCCAGGACGCUGAGCCUGGCGCCCGCAGGCACUUUCCAUUUCCUGCCCUCGCAGAGGUUGCUUGUUUAGACUGACAGAUAAACUCUAACCCUGCUAUAAUACCCUCUCCAUAAAAUUCGGGCUGGUCAAACAAAUACCCGUAUGUGAAUGACUCCUUAUCUUUGCUCAGUGUACUAGAGAUAGUGAAACUGGAUGUUUAUCUGCUCCGACUGCUUUCCCAAGACCUGCAGCACCUUUACCAACUGGGCUGGCAGCUGGGUGCAGCCUGGGCCACGCGGGCAGCACAGGAACCCACAGCAACUCCCUGCUCUCUGCUUCCUGGAAAAAUACCGUGCAGCCCUUCUCUGCUGCAUUACUUGCUUGAAGAGGAGCAGAUCUGAGAGAAGGCACAGUCUGGGCACAACCUCCCCUUUGUCUGUGUCCUUGGCACGUGAUAUGAGCCACUCUCAUUUGGCUGUGGUGCCAAAUCUUGUCAAAUGAGCACAUCUUGUGCUCAUUUGGGCACAAGAGUUGUAAUACCCUUUAUAUGCUGUAUUACAAAAAGCCCCAGUGUGUUUCUACGGACUAGUUGUUUAGAAGCAGAAAAGGGAAUCCAAAAGGGUUUUGAAGGAGUUGCUACUCACGUUGGUUCAACUUGCGCCAACGCAGGGAGGGUCUACAGAAAUCAGUGCUGUGUGUGCAAACAAACUCUUAUGUGCUGGGAUUCCUCGUGUCUUGCAUGAUGCAGCCUGUUCCAGUCAGCAGUUUUUGAGCUAUGGUUUUAGCUGAAAUUCUUCACUGAGAAUACUAUGUUUUCCUUGACAUUGUGUAAAGAGAAGAAUUUUAUCGCUUUCCUUACUCCACAUAGACUCUUGUUUACAGCUUUCCAAUGUGGUUCAUAAUGUUUGAGUGAAAGCCUUCCCAGCAGUGCAGAGUCCUCUAAUUCCGAGUGUUUCCCACUUUGUUUUCAAAACAGUUAAUAGAAAAAUCAUUAACUAGAUAUGUGUCCAGAAGACACCAG